GGUUAAGCGACUAAGCGUACACGGUGGAUGCCCUGGCAGUCAGAGGCGAUGAAGGACGUGCUAAUCUGCGAUAAGCGUCGGUAAGGUGAUAUGAACCGUUAUAACCGGCGAUUUCCGAAUGGGGAAACCCAGUGUGUUUCGACACACUAUCAUUAACUGAAUCCAUAGGUUAAUGAGGCGAACCGGGGGAACUGAAACAUCUAAGUACCCCGAGGAAAAGAAAUCAACCGAGAUUCCCCCAGUAGCGGCGAGCGAACGGGGAGCAGCCCAGAGCCUGAAUCAGUGUGUGUGUUAGUGGAAGCGUCUGGAAAGGCGCGCGAUACAGGGUGACAGCCCCGUACACAAAAAUGCACAUGCUGUGAGCUCGAUGAGUAGGGCGGGACACGUGGUAUCCUGUCUGAAUAUGGGGGGACCAUCCUCCAAGGCUAAAUACUCCUGACUGACCGAUAGUGAACCAGUACCGUGAGGGAAAGGCGAAAAGAACCCCGGCGAGGGGAGUGAAAAAGAACCUGAAACCGUGUACGUACAAGCAGUGGGAGCACGCUUAGGCGUGUGACUGCGUACCUUUUGUAUAAUGGGUCAGCGACUUAUAUUCUGUAGCAAGGUUAACCGAAUAGGGGAGCCGAAGGGAAACCGAGUCUUAACUGGGCGUUAAGUUGCAGGGUAUAGACCCGAAACCCGGUGAUCUAGCCAUGGGCAGGUUGAAGGUUGGGUAACACUAACUGGAGGACCGAACCGACUAAUGUUGAAAAAUUAGCGGAUGACUUGUGGCUGGGGGUGAAAGGCCAAUCAAACCGGGAGAUAGCUGGUUCUCCCCGAAAGCUAUUUAGGUAGCGCCUCGUGAAUUCAUCUCCGGGGGUAGAGCACUGUUUCGGCAAGGGGGUCAUCCCGACUUACCAACCCGAUGCAAACUGCGAAUACCGGAGAAUGUUAUCACGGGAGACACACGGCGGGUGCUAACGUCCGUCGUGAAGAGGGAAACAACCCAGACCGCCAGCUAAGGUCCCAAAGUCAUGGUUAAGUGGGAAACGAUGUGGGAAGGCCCAGACAGCCAGGAUGUUGGCUUAGAAGCAGCCAUCAUUUAAAGAAAGCGUAAUAGCUCACUGGUCGAGUCGGCCUGCGCGGAAGAUGUAACGGGGCUAAACCAUGCACCGAAGCUGCGGCAGCGACGCUUAUGCGUUGUUGGGUAGGGGAGCGUUCUGUAAGCCUGUGAAGGUGUGCUGUGAGGCAUGCUGGAGGUAUCAGAAGUGCGAAUGCUGACAUAAGUAACGAUAAAGCGGGUGAAAAGCCCGCUCGCCGGAAGACCAAGGGUUCCUGUCCAACGUUAAUCGGGGCAGGGUGAGUCGACCCCUAAGGCGAGGCCGAAAGGCGUAGUCGAUGGGAAACAGGUUAAUAUUCCUGUACUUGGUGUUACUGCGAAGGGGGGACGGAGAAGGCUAUGUUGGCCGGGCGACGGUUGUCCCGGUUUAAGCGUGUAGGCUGGUUUUCCAGGCAAAUCCGGAAAAUCAAGGCUGAGGCGUGAUGACGAGGCACUACGGUGCUGAAGCAACAAAUGCCCUGCUUCCAGGAAAAGCCUCUAAGCAUCAGGUAACAUCAAAUCGUACCCCAAACCGACACAGGUGGUCAGGUAGAGAAUACCAAGGCGCUUGAGAGAACUCGGGUGAAGGAACUAGGCAAAAUGGUGCCGUAACUUCGGGAGAAGGCACGCUGAUAUGUAGGUGAAGUCCCUCGCGGAUGGAGCUGAAAUCAGUCGAAGAUACCAGCUGGCUGCAACUGUUUAUUAAAAACACAGCACUGUGCAAACACGAAAGUGGACGUAUACGGUGUGACGCCUGCCCGGUGCCGGAAGGUUAAUUGAUGGGGUUAGCGCAAGCGAAGCUCUUGAUCGAAGCCCCGGUAAACGGCGGCCGUAACUAUAACGGUCCUAAGGUAGCGAAAUUCCUUGUCGGGUAAGUUCCGACCUGCACGAAUGGCGUAAUGAUGGCCAGGCUGUCUCCACCCGAGACUCAGUGAAAUUGAACUCGCUGUGAAGAUGCAGUGUACCCGCGGCAAGACGGAAAGACCCCGUGAACCUUUACUAUAGCUUGACACUGAACAUUGAGCCUUGAUGUGUAGGAUAGGUGGGAGGCUUUGAAGUGUGGACGCCAGUCUGCAUGGAGCCGACCUUGAAAUACCACCCUUUAAUGUUUGAUGUUCUAACGUUGACCCGUAAUCCGGGUUGCGGACAGUGUCUGGUGGGUAGUUUGACUGGGGCGGUCUCCUCCUAAAGAGUAACGGAGGAGCACGAAGGUUGGCUAAUCCUGGUCGGACAUCAGGAGGUUAGUGCAAUGGCAUAAGCCAGCUUGACUGCGAGCGUGACGGCGCGAGCAGGUGCGAAAGCAGGUCAUAGUGAUCCGGUGGUUCUGAAUGGAAGGGCCAUCGCUCAACGGAUAAAAGGUACUCCGGGGAUAACAGGCUGAUACCGCCCAAGAGUUCAUAUCGACGGCGGUGUUUGGCACCUCGAUGUCGGCUCAUCACAUCCUGGGGCUGAAGUAGGUCCCAAGGGUAUGGCUGUUCGCCAUUUAAAGUGGUACGCGAGCUGGGUUUAGAACGUCGUGAGACAGUUCGGUCCCUAUCUGCCGUGGGCGCUGGAGAACUGAGGGGGGCUGCUCCUAGUACGAGAGGACCGGAGUGGACGCAUCACUGGUGUUCGGGUUGUCAUGCCAAUGGCACUGCCCGGUAGCUAAAUGCGGAAGAGAUAAGUGCUGAAAGCAUCUAAGCACGAAACUUGCCCCGAGAUGAGUUCUCCCUGACUCCUUGAGAGUCCUGAAGGAACGUUGAAGACGACGACGUUGAUAGGCCGGGUGUGUAAGCGCAGCGAUGCGUUGAGCUAACCGGUACUAAUGAACCGUGAGGCUUAACCUUACAACGCCGAAGCUGUUUUG
rnacentral:rRNA from 1 species